CCGGAACUAAGGGACUCAGGAACCAGAAGGCUGUGUAAACAAACCUUGCUAAUUUACUAUCUCAAGCCUUAACUCUGCUUCAAUUCCUCACUAAUUACAUACCUCAAACCUAAGUUUCUUUGUCCUGUCAUUCCUCACAAAUUUAUCGUUUCUUCGCAUAGAAGAUAUACAUACUGCCUGCUGUGUUCCCUCGCCAAGCGUCAUUGCUCUAUGAUCUCCAAUACGAGCAAAGAAAAUACAUGCACUCUAUAACCGCUUAUUACCCUGGAUUCCCUGUCACAGAGGUGGAGAGAAGAUUCUGACCAAUGGAAGACCAGAUAGGCUGAACAAGCCCAAGGUCACAGAGCAAAUCCUUGGAAGAAUGCGGACGACACAGCCAACUUUUUCACUGAAACUAUUAACUAUUGGACAAUCCCUCCCAAAAUUGCUUUCUUCCAUUUUGAUGUCUCUUUUCUUAAGGAGAAGUGAUACCAGAAAGACAGCUGAUUAUAAAUGAGAGAGAGAAAAUACUUCAGAAAGAAAAAAGUCUCAAACCUAUCUGGCAGUGACCAUUUUCUUGAUUUAAGCAGAGAAUGAUCUUUGUGUUUCCACAUGAGUGACCACAUUCAGCAAGAUAUAAUUGCCAAACAC
rnacentral:lncRNA from 1 species